AGUGAAGCUGUGUGGGGAUCUUUCGAUUCCCUAGCAUAGUUGACUUGUCAUUCAUCUCAUUUUCUUGUUCAAAAUACAAAAUCAAAGUCUAGUGAAGCCGUGUGAGGCCUAUUUCGAUUCACUAGCAACUUGCUAUCCAAUAUGUUGUUCUUUUGUUGGUUUAAUAUAUGUAUAGCUAAAUCUGUUUGCAUGAGAUUGAGCAAGUAAGUAGGAGGUAAGAGAACAGUAUAAGUAGAUAAGAUUGUAUGACGUUGUAAUAUUUGAUUAAGAUUGCCCAUGCCUAUUAUAUGACUUUAUCCCCCC
rnacentral:lncRNA from 1 species